rnacentral:rRNA from 1 species
UUCGCCCUUCGGUUGAUCCUGCCGGACCUUACUGCUAUCGGGGUGGGACUAAGACAUGCGAGUCGAGCGUCUCUAGCUAUGUUGAGACGCGGCAGACGGCUCAGUAACACGUGGCUAACCUACCCUCAGGACGAGGAUAAACCCGGGAAACUGGGGCUAAUACUCGAUAGGUGAGGAUGUCUGGAAUGAUUUCUCACUCAAAGGGCCUUGGGAACAUGCUUCCAAUGUCGCCUGGGGAUGGGGCCGCGUCCGAUCAGGUUGUUGGUGAGGUAAUGGCUCACCAAGCCUAUAACCGGUACGGGCCGUGAGAGCGGUAGCCUGGAGAUGGGUAUUGAGACAAGGACCCAGGCCCUACGGGGCGCAGCAGUCGCGAAAACUCCGCAAUGCACGAAAGUGUGACGGGGCUACCCCGAGUGCCAUCCGCUGAGGGUGGCUUUUCUUUGGUGUAACCAGCCAUGGGAAUAAGGAGAGGGCAAGACUGGUGUCAGCCGCCGCGGUAAUACCAGCUCUCCGAGUGGUAGGGAUGAUUAUUGGGCUUAAAGCGUCCGUAGCCUGCUGAGCAAGUCUCCUGUUAAAUUCAGCGACCAAAUCGUUGAGCCGCGGGAGAUACUACUAAGCUAGGAGGCGGGAGAGGUCGACGGUACUUC